UACGGAGGGGGCUAGCGUUGUUCGGAAUUACUGGGCGUAAAGCGCACGUAGGCGGCUUUGUAAGUUAGAGGUGAAAGCCCGGGGCUCAACUCCGGAAUUGCCUUUAAGACUGCAUCGCUCGAAUUGUGGAGAGGUAAGUGGAAUUCCGAGUGUAGAGGUGAAAUUCGUAGAUAUUCGGAAGAACACCAGUGGCGAAGGCGGCUCACUGGCCCGUAACUGACGCUGAGGCACGAAAGCGUGGGGAGCAAACAGG
rnacentral:rRNA from 1 species